rnacentral:misc_RNA from 1 species
AAAAAAAAAAAAAGGACUUUAAUAUGUUCACCAAUCCCAUCUAUGCUUGUUUAAGUUUCCAAUAGAUCAUACAAAAACUUGAGAACUAUAAAGCAGCUUCUUAUAAAACCUAAAAAGAAAGAACCACACAAAAUUAUGAUCAAAUGAAAAACAAUAGCAAAUAUUGUAAAUUUUGAUGGUUUUGAUACUAUCUGGUAAUAAUUUUACAAUUAACAAAGUUCUAGUGUCGAUCCCCACUAAUAUCAGAGCCCAUUCACAUAUUCUUAACCUGUGCAUGUCACUAACCUGCCAAGUUCUAAGCCA